AUGCUCAGGAUGAACGCUAGCUACAGGCUUAACACAUGCAAGUCGCGGGGCAGCAUGUCGGUUGCUUGCAACCGAUGAUGGCGACCGGCGCACGGGUGAGUAACGCGUAUCCAACCUGCCCUUCACCACGGAAUAAUCCAGUGAAAAUUGGUCUAAUACCGUAUGAGGUCAUACGAUGGCAUCAGAAUAUGACGAAAGGUUUAGCGGUGAAGGAUGGGGAUGCGU
rnacentral:rRNA from 1 species